rnacentral:lncRNA from 1 species
AGCUAUAUACUUACGGAUAAUAUCUGAGCUUGCCCUUCUUAGUAUCUUGCUUAAUAGGAGUGAAAUCUUCAUCUGUAGCAACCUCCAUUUUUGCUUUCGACUCUUUAGGUAUUUCAACUAUAAAGUUGAAAACUCCAUCUCCUAAGGUCAAUGGUAUAUCAUGCCAUGGAGAAACCUAUAUACAAAUGCAUACAAUCCUUAUCCAGCCUUUACAAUAACACAGAACAGAGUGAUGAACCAAAAGCAUUUCAAUUAACAUUCAAAUUGUAGAUCUCUAGAAACGUUGGUUGCAAACUCCAUCUCCUAAGGUCAAUGGUAUAUCAUGCCAUCGUGAAGCAAUGAUUUACUGCAGUCGGUUUUCACGUAUGUGUUGUCAGUAUUUUCUAAGAAAUCUGAGCAUAUGAUGGUUCAAAGAAGGAAGUUAAACAUGUGGAGCUCACUGUUAAAAGAAGAAUCAUGGAAUUUUCGUGAGGAAGAAAGACCAAGAGAUCAAGAACAGGGGAUUAUCAAAAGGGUCAAGCUGUGUAUGGUCUCAUUUGAUGACAAAGAAGAUGUGUUAUCGGGAAUGAGAAGAAGCUUGAGAUUUUGAUAAAGAGUAUUGAAGUACUGCUGGAUCUCUAAAG